UGUGUCUGGUUACGGGUUCCCUAGAAGGAGACGUCUUUGUGUGGAACCCAGCCCUGGACUGUUUACCUCACAAACGGUGCUACCACAGCCUUGGGUGCUCCUGCAGGCAAAGCGCAGAGCAUCCUGGGAAAUGUAGUUCCCAUCCGCCUUAUAACUCAGGGGGCCCUUUGUCUCUUCCAGUGGGAGCCUGUGUUGCCUGCUGUGGCCUUGACUGCCUGGGCUCAACCAGUCCUGCCUCAGCCUGCAGAGUAGCCCGGACCUCGGGCGCACUUCACCAAACCCACAGGCCCUGCUUUGGGCGCAGAGCCGGCACCUGGCCUGCCAGGACGUGGCUCUGGCUCUCGAGCCAUCUGGAGGGCAGCGCAGUUCCUAGGGUUGCACGGCACCGAGCAUACUAAGAUGUGACUAACUAAAGACAGUGAGGGCUGGGGAUUUAGUUCAGCGAUUCUACUGCCUGCCUCGAAAACACAAGGACCAGAGUUCGAUCCCGGUACCAAAAAGGAAAAAAAGGAGAGGAAGAAG
rnacentral:lncRNA from 1 species